AAAUUGAAGAGUUUGAUCAUGGCUCAGAUUGAACGCUGGCGGCAGGCCUAACACAUGCAAGUCGAACGGUAACAGGAAGCAGCUUGCUGCUUCGCUGACGAGUGGCGGACGGGUGAGUAAUGUCUGGGAAACUGCCUGAUGGAGGGGGAUAACUACUGGAAACGGUGGCUAAUACCGCAUAACGUCGCAAGACCAAAGAGGGGGACCUUCGGGCCUCUUGCCAUCAGAUGUGCCCAGAUGGGAUUAGCUAGUUGGUGAGGUAACGGCUCACCAAGGCGACGAUCCCUAGCUGGUCUGAGAGGAUGACCAGCCACACUGGAACUGAGACACGGUCCAGACUCCUACGGGAGGCAGCAGUGGGGAAUAUUGCACAAUGGGCGCAAGCCUGAUGCAGCCAUGCCGCGUGUAUGAAGAAGGCCUUCGGGUUGUAAAGUACUUUCAGCGGGGAGGAAGGUGUUGUGGUUAAUAACCGCAGCAAUUGACGUUACCCGCAGAAGAAGCACCGGCUAACUCCGUGCCAGCAGCCGCGGUAAUACGGAGGGUGCAAGCGUUAAUCGGAAUUACUGGGCGUAAAGCGCACGCAGGCGGUCUGUCAAGUCGGAUGUGAAAUCCCCGGGCUCAACCUGGGAACUGCAUUCGAAACUGGCAGGCUUGAGUCUUGUAGAGGGGGGUAGAAUUCCAGGUGUAGCGGUGAAAUGCGUAGAGAUCUGGAGGAAUACCGGUGGCGAAGGCGGCCCCCUGGACAAAGACUGACGCUCAGGUGCGAAAGCGUGGGGAGCAAACAGGAUUAGAUACCCUGGUAGUCCACGCCGUAAACGAUGUCUACUUGGAGGUUGUGCCCUUGAGGCGUGGCUUCCGGAGCUAACGCGUUAAGUAGACCGCCUGGGGAGUACGGCCGCAAGGUUAAAACUCAAAUGAAUUGACGGGGGCCCGCACAAGCGGUGGAGCAUGUGGUUUAAUUCGAUGCAACGCGAAGAACCUUACCUGGUCUUGACAUCCACAGAACUUUCCAGAGAUGGAUUGGUGCCUUCGGGAACUGUGAGACAGGUGCUGCAUGGCUGUCGUCAGCUCGUGUUGUGAAAUGUUGGGUUAAGUCCCGCAACGAGCGCAACCCUUAUCCUUUGUUGCCAGCGAU
rnacentral:rRNA from 1 species